rnacentral:rRNA from 1 species
UACACUCCUGCGGGAGGCAGCAGUGAGGAAUAUUGGACAAUGGGUGGAAGCCUGAUCCAGCCAUCCCGCGUGCAGGAAGACGGCCCUAUGGGUUGUAAACUGCUUUUAUCUGGGGAUAAACCUACUUACGUGUAAGUAGCUGAAGGUACCAGAAGAAUAAGCACCGGCUAACUCCGUGCCAGCAGCCGCGGUAAUACGGAGGGUGCAAGCGUUAUCCGGAUUUAUUGGGUUUAAAGGGUCCGUAGGCGGACUGAUAAGUCAGUGGUGAAAUCCGACAGCUUAACUGUCGAACUGCCAUUGAUACUGUUAGUCUUGAGUAAGGUUGAAGUGGCUGGAAUAAGUAGUGUAGCGGUGAAAUGCAUAGAUAUUACUUAGAACACCAAUUGCGAAGGCAGGUCACUAAGUCUUAACUGACGCUGAUGGACGAAAGCGUGGGGAGCGAACAGGAUUAGAAACCCCGGUAGUCCCAUGAU